UGAAAAUUACAGGCCUCUCUCAUCUUUUUAAGUGGGAGAACUUGCACAAUUGGUGGCUGACUAAAUGCUUUUUUGCCCCACUGUAUAUGUGCUCGUAGUUCGUCUGUUUUAUUGUCCAAUGAUUGUACAUUGGUUCAUAGGACCGAUGGUAUAGGCCCAUUACACACUCGCCAUCAGGUGAACAACAUCAUCGGUGAGAUGGUGCCCAGCAUGCAGGCCUUUGAGUCCAUGCUCUGCUACAUGUACUAUGGGAUGUUAACAUGCCUCCGGAAGACUCUCUCUACUUGUUCGCAGCACCAUAUUGCUACGUUUUCCUGAACAACAGACUACAGGCCUACUGCAAGCAGAACCUGGAGAUGAAUGUGAUGGUGGAGAACAUCCUCCAGAUCCUAGAGGCAGCGAACAAAACUCAGACCUGGGACAUGAAGAAGCACUGACUGCACAUCCUCAUCCGCCAGUUCAUCAAGUGCCAUGUGGAGUAUCUUUUGUCUUAACAAACCAAGGAAAAUACUAUGAGAUGGGCUCCUACAUCUAGGACCAGGAUGUUGACCUACUCUCUCUACCGAAGCCCUCCGUGUCUGCUCCCUUCCUCAUUAGUCACCAGUGAAGGUUGGUUAAAGGAGAAAUGUGGAGGAUGGGUUCUCUCCACCAGCCACCACUGCUUUAUAAGUUAGGGUUAAGGCUCUCGAGUGGCGCAGCGGUCUAAAGCACUGCAUCUCAAUCCUAGAGGUGUCACUACAGACCCUGGUUCGAAACUGGGCUGUAUCACAACCGGCGGUGAUCAGGAGUCCCAUAGGGCGGCGCACAAUUGGCCUAGUUAAAUAAAGGUUAAAUAAAAAAUGCAAAAAUAAUUGACUGUGGACCUUACAUAACAUUUCCUCAACCUUGUCCCAAAUGUCCCUUUUUACCUAUGCUGGGUUACUUUGGAUCCACUCUCUAAAUGAAUCAUGUUUGAAUGACCUGCGAGAAUAAUACUGAACAUUAUACAAUGAUCACCUGAAUGUGUACGUCCGGACCAGUUUUGAGAAUGCUGAUAUUGUGCUUGAAGUAACCUCCCCCUCAUCCUUGUUCAGUUAGCCGGAUUUCAGUUAGCAUGGUUUAUAAGUAUUCUUUUCAUCUAUUUAUUUCCUCAUAUAUUAAUUUUAUAAUUUCAUAAAUGGUAUAUAAAAAAAACCUGGAUCAUGGUUAAAUGUUGAUUCUCCUACAUAGUAAAGCUACAUACUGCAGGGUUACCCAACUGGCAGCCCAUGGUUGUUUUUCUUUUGCCUCUCCAAGUUUUCUGAACAAAAACGUUAUAUACAGUGCAUUCGGAAAGUAUUCAGGCCCCUUGACUUUUUCCACAUUUUGUUACAAUACAGCCUUAUUCUAAAAUGUAUUAAAUUGUUUUUUCCUCCUCAUAAAUCUACACACAAUACUCCAUAAUGACAAAGCAAAAACAGGAUUUUUGAUAUGUUUAAAAAAACGGAAAUAUCACAUUUACAUAAGUAUUCCGAUCUUUUACUCAAUACUUUGUUGAAGCACCUUUGGUAGCGAUUACAGCAUCAAGUCUCCUUGGGUAUAAUGCAACAAGCUUGGCACAACUGUAUUUGGGGAGUUUCUCCCAUUAUUCUCUGCAGAUCCUCUCAAGCUCUGUCAGGUUGGAUGAGCGUCGCUGACAAAUAUCCCCACAGCAUGAUGCUGCCACCACCUUGCUUCGGCAUAGGGAUGGUGUCAGGUUUCCUACAGAUGUGACGCUUUGAAUUCAGGCCAUCAGACCAGAGAAUCUUGUUUCUCAUGGUUAGAAAGUCCUUUACUUGCCUUUUUAGGAAACUCCAAGUGGGCUGUCGUGCCUUUUACUGAGGAGUGGCUUCUGUCCAUUCUACCAUUAAGGCCUGAUUGGUGGAGUGCUGCUGAGAUGGUUGACCUUCUGGAAGGUUCUCCCAUCUCCACGGAGAAACUCUGGAGCUCUGUCAGAGUGACCAUCAGGUUCUUAGUCACCUCCCUGACCAAGGCCCUUCUCCCCCGAUUGCUCAGUUUGGCCGAGCAGCCAGCUCUCGGAAGUGUCUUGGUGGUUCCAAACAUUUUCCAUUUUAGAAUGAUGGAGGCUAUUGUGUUCUUGGGGACCUUCAAUUCUGAAGACAUUUUUUGGAACCCUUCCCCAGGUCUGUGCCUCGACACAACCCCGUCUCUGAGCUCUACAGACAAUUCCUUCGACCUCAUGGUUUGAUUUUGGCUCUGACAUGCACCGUCAACUGUGCGACCUUAUAUAGACAGGUGUGUGCCUUUCCAAAUCAUGUCCAAUCAAUUGAAUUUACGACAGGUGGACUCCAAUCAAGUUGUUGAAACAUCUCAAGGAUGAUCAAUGGAAACAGGAUGCACCUGAGCUCAAUUUCCUGUCUCAUAGCAAAGGGUCUGAAUACUCAUGUAAUACUCAUUUCUGUUUUAUUUUUAAUAAAUUAUUCUAAAAUUGAAUUUCCUUAUCAAUCUACACAUGAUACCCCAAAAUGACAAAGUGAAAACAAGUUUUUUUUAAAGUUUAGUAAAGGCUGUAAUGUAACAAAAUGUGGAAAAAGUAAAUGGGUCUGAAUACUUUCUCAAUGCACCUUGUAAAUAUAUAUUUUAUUUUUAUUAUUAUUAUUAUUGAACAUAAAAGACUGUAAAAACACCAGGAAUUAAUUGAAGAAAUCUGUUUCUACGUUUUCCCAUGCAUAAUAGAGAGACACGUAUACAAAUGUCUACAAAUGAUUUGUAGUUAUGAUCCGGCCCCCCGACUAUCCUCUCAAGAACAAAUCGUCCCAUCGCUGAAUGUAGUUGAUGAUCCCUGACAUACUGUAUGCAUUAUAUAUGUGUGACAUAGAAGAACUCUUUAUAGUUGUAACAUAUUUAAGCCAUAAUGCACAAUGGGGUGUGGUAUAUGGCCAAUAUACAAAGGCUAAUGGCUUUUCUUAAUUAUGCACAGCACAAUGCGGAGUGUCUGUAUACAGCCCUUAGCCUUGGUAUAUUGGCCAUAUACCACAAAUAUACAUAUACCACAUAUACCACAAGCCCCUGAGGUGCCUUAUUGCUAUUAUAAACUGGUUACCAACGUAAUUAGAGCAGUAAAAUAAAUGUUUUGUCAUACCCGUGGUAUAUGGUCUGAUAUACCACGGCUGUCAGCCAAUCAGAAUUCAGGGAUCAAACAACCCAGUUUAUAAUAUAAAAUGUGUUUCAAGAAGAAUUGAAGACGUGGUCAUUCUUCUGAGGGAAUAAUUAAUUCCUUAGCAACUAAAUCAAUAAUUAGUUCCUUAGCAACUAAAUUAAACAGGAUGGGAAAUGUAUCACCAAAGUAUUUGUUCCUCUCUGCUGAUCUAUUAUAAAAUGAAAACAUUUGGAAAUUGUUAACAUCACAGCAUAUAAUCAGUAUAAUUUCAUUCUGAAUGGUUUCAGAUGAGCAAUGGCAUGUCUAGUACUGGAGAGGUGUUUGUUUAAGCUUGGGAGAACCAGGUUUUGUUUAAUAUUGGUGUUUGACACAGGAUCUAUAUUGGAAAAUUCUCUGAUUAGCCAGCUGCUGUACAGUUGGCAGGAAUAUGAACCUGCUCAAAUACUCUGUUUUGUGUUUUGCUAUGAUGACAUGCUACUGAGUCAAAUGUUUCUCACAUUGACUCCAUCAAAGCCUUAAUAAAUUACAUAUGGGCUUCCGAGUGGCGUAGCAAUUUAAAUCACAACCGGCUGUGAUUGGGAUUCCCAUAGGGCAGGUCACAAUUGGCCCAGCGUUGUCCGGGUUUGGUCGGUGUGUCAUUGUAAAUAAGAAUUUGUUCUUAAUUGACUUGCCUAGUUAAAUAAAGGUUAAAUAAAUAAAAAUACAAAUGUGAAAUUCAUCACUUAGUCUAUGUACUUACACGCCAUCCUGUCACCCAAUAUAGGUUGGCUUUAUGUAAAUUGUUGUUUUGCUGAAAACUGUCACAGGGAUUGUUAUCAAUGUCAUUUUGCAAAUUGCAAAGAUGUGAUUGCUUAUAGAAAAGGCUCCCAAAACCACAUUAAGCAACACUCUGAAGGUAGACCACUUUUUAAAGAAGAAAAACAUCCUGACACAGUUUGAUUGACUACCAGGUCUCUCUUUCUCCUGCUGUGUGCUUUGUCCACCCGCCCCUUACCUGAAACAUAAUAGUAGAAAAGAGACUGAGUGACCUGAUUACAGCACAAUGGAUCUCAUUCUCUCUGACACACCGUCUUCCAGUAGUGUGCAACCGACACUGCCUUCAGUCGUUGGGCUGCAGCAAGCUGGCAUUAGAAACGUGAAAGUAUUUUACUUUUUCAAAUUCAGCAGAUGAUGUUGAAUCAGUGGACCACUUGAGGGAAAUGGAGCACAUGUCAGCUGCUGCACCAGCAGGUGGCCAGGGGAAAUCAAAGCUGAAGGAGAAGUCCAAGUCUAUGCACGUUAAUCCUUGACCUUUGUCUCUACAAAUUAGCAGUUUCAGGUUCCACUGAUAUGUGAGAGAUAAGCUUGCACAAUGCACCUUUCAAUAGAGGGGGCGAAAUCCUUCCAUUCAAGCAAGUUUAUCAGACCUUAUACCUUUUAGGUUUUUCCUUUUUAAUAUUUAUUUAUUACAUACUGAAUGAUUAAUGAAAAAUAUUUUGAUAUUUCUGUUUACCUGUAGUCAUGCUUACCAUUCAUUUUGGAUUGUUAGCGUAUAGCUGGGUCUACAAAAAA